GGAGUAAGGAGACACCCUAGUUAACGGAGGCAGCUAACCAAAUGGCAAAAAAAAGAUUGGUUUUGCAUCAUAGAACCAUUGAGCCUACCAAUGUUAUUGGAGUUGCAUCCGUGAGCAGGGCUCUGCUUUGAGUUCACAAGUGUUGCUAAGCAAUGGAAAGAGAGGGAGGAGGAGGAGAGUGCAAGAGAGAGAGUCUGACACUAGGAGUACAAGAAUAAAUGGAAGAUAAUACUAAUGCUCCUACAUAGCCUCAUUUACAGUGAAUGUUAAAAGUACAAAAUAUUUCCUGUCAUCCUUGUAAACUACUUGCAGCCCGUGCAAAGACUGCUAAAACGAGGUUCUAUGUCUAAAUCAAUGCACAUCCUGCAAGUACAAAGUAGUGUUGCAUCCUGGAGCACUGACAAAAGCAGUGAGGCACCAGAACUGUUCACAUCUGCCUCUUGACUAAAAAGACAGCAGCUUUGGGCAUGUUGCACAACAUCUGUUACAGAAACACAAGAAAGCAGACCUAAGGCAAGCUGGGCUACUGCCAACUGACUCAAGAUUUUUUCCCCCCCUCUGACAAGGCUGUCAAUAAAUGGACAGAUGGCAUCCGAUGUGCUGGCAGGAUAGUUCAGUUAACAAUCAAAACAUUGAUUGCCCCUGAAGAUGUCCCCCUCAUCCCAUUCAGCUCAUGCAAACAACCAUUUUGGUGACCAGCGGCUCAGAGAGUACAAAGGUCAUCUAUGCAGAAACCCGUACAUUUUCUGGAACAACAACUGUGCACAGCAGCUACUAGGGGAAAAGCCUGGAUUCACUCCCGUAAGUGCAUAUGAGAGCAAGCUGCAGCACUUUGUACCCUGAGAGCAGCUCUGAUCCAAGGGUGAUUCAUCAGAGGGGAGAACAGGUGACAGUACCACACAGUCCCCGCCUACAGACUAUGUAAUCUUUUGGACAGCUUUAAAUUCCAGCCAGAGCUCCCUGGGAGCCACCUGGCAAAAACUGCCUGGUAGAGAUGCUGCAUAAAGACUUCUGAGGCUGCUCUGGUCCUAACUGGCUGAAAUGGCAACGGGGGAGGGAUUGCAUGCAGCUUGUACAGCUGUGCUUCACUGCUAGUGGAACUUCCACUGGGGUGUCUCAGCCUAGGUUCUGCCAAUAAAACUUCAGCACUGAAUCAGGCACUGCAUGUAGGAGCUUGAAUGACAAUUUUGGUGUUGAUAACUUCAACGUGCUUCCUGCUAAACUCUGGAAUCAUGUUGUAAUGGAGCUGGAAGAUUAAUAUUCUAUGCAAAGACUGAUUCUGGACUAAAAUAGGGUCUAAACAUAUUUCCCUUUUUUGUACUUAAUGUACAACUCUUUCUACAGUCAUAAUGGAUGCAUGGGCCUAUGCUAGUAGGGACCUCGGAUGCAUGUUAAAGCUUAAUCCUAGCUAGUUGUUUCUCACAUUAACGAGCAUGACUCUAGUUGUACUUAGAGUGUUGUAAGAGGAGACACUGGCAUUAUUAUAUACUAUAAUAUAAUAAUCAUAUGUUUCUUCUCCCAAAGUAAAUAGGGGACAGACUUGUCUUGUAGUAAGUCAGGUUGACAAUCAUCAUUUUAACUGUACUGUAAACUCUGGGUUACUGAGAAUAUGUAUUCUUAAAGUAUUGAAAAAGAAAAGUAGAAUUCAAUAGUCAGAAUGUAUGUUCACUUGUUAGGGUCUGUCUAUUUUUGAUACCACUGUACUGGUAUAUGUUAAAAAUGCCAAUUAAUUAAAAAAUCCUAAGUCUGCUGUAAAAGCAUGAGGAUUUUUUUAAACUUUGAAUACGCAAGUCGAAUGACCUCAUUAGCCCUCACUGGAAAUAUAAGACAAUGACAAAAAACUAAACACUGAUGCUCAUCUAGAUUGCAACACUUCUCAUUUGACGGUGUGUUACCGUUUUCUCAUUUUACAUGAGACCUAUCCAGCCCAAUGCUACAGGCAAGUAAUCUCAUUAGCAUCACUAUUUGUCAUUAGUAAAAACGGGUCACAUCUGGAAGAGUCGAUACACAGAAUACAUAUAACCUAUGUCCUUCCAUAACAGAUACUAUUUGUGCACACCUGUUAUUUUCAUGUCGCCUUGGAGCGCUCAUGGUGACUUCUGCAGAGCAUGUAACACCAGUACUCUAAGUAAAGACUAUGCAUUAGACCUUUGAGGCAUUUAAAAAUAUUUAUCCCAGUUUUAGCAUUUUCUUGACUUUGCAGUGGUUCUACAUUGUGCAAAGUAGACAAAUGCAAGCACCAUUCCUUUGUCCGUGAGCUUCUCUCCCCGAAGACUAGCCUCAGGAUACUGAAUUGAAAAACUAUCACCAAAAGAGGGUGUUUCAACCAGUUAGUCUAGAAAGCUGAAGGACAGUGUAUGGAGGCAGUGGGAGCAUGUCCAUGGACAGUUUGUGGGCACAGUAUAUAAUGUAAGUGUGUAUGUGUUAUGUAUACUAGGCCCAAAAGGAGCAGCUGAGAUUUGCAACAACAACAACAAAAAAAUUCAUCCCAGCUCCACUGAACUGUCGUGAAUCUGAGCUGCUAACUGUAGGUUCGGCUAAAACCCAGUCUCAGCCUGGCUUUAGAUGGGUGCUUGACUGAGCCAAAUAUUUUGCACUGCCCUAAGGAGCAAAUACAUAAAACACAUAUGGGGCAUGAUAGGUCACCUUUUACCUAUAAAUAGGUACGUGAUAAUGAUCAUAAAAAGGUAAAAAGAAAUCAAUAAGAGCCAUUAAUUCAUUCAAAAUAAGACUAUGUUAAGGCUCAUACGAUUACUAUCCAACUGUGGGAGAAAAAAAAAGUGAAAUUUUUCCAGUACAGUUCUCUCCAAUUCCAAACAAAAACCAAAUAAAACUAGGAAAGAAAUGAAAAGUACUUAGUCUUUUUUCCAUAUAUUUGCAUGUACAGAUGAAAAUUUUAGGGCUUAAGCUGAUUUACCCUCAUGUAAGUGAGAAGUAAAUCCACUGAAGCCAGUGGAGUUAUACCAGUGUAAACACAGAUAUGAAAUCAGCUAAUUGGUCACAUUAAAAAGAGGUGAAUGUGACACAUUAAUGGAUUUCACCAUAGUGUACUUCAUAUUCUGUCCUCUACAUGAAUGGUUACCAACUAAGCUUUACCAUGCAGCAGGCAGAUCUCAAUUAAACCAGCACUAGCUUCAUUGGAAAGAAAGGAGAUACGACUAGCAAUAGCUCUCACCCAGGAUUUUCAAAAGGUGACGAGUGAUUUUGGAAGCCUCAAUCUUGGGGUCUUCACCUUAUGACAUUUUAAAGGGCCCUGAAUUUUGGAAAUCAGAUCCCUUGAAGGCAUCUCAAGUUGGGAUCCCAAAAAUCACUAGCCACUCUAAAUUCUGAUUCUAGUUUUCAGAGAUUCCAGAAGAGGAGAAAUGUUUCUCAAAGAAAAAAUGAGCCAGUAGAAGAUGGAUACUUCUCAUUUAAGACUUUCCAUGUGAAAGUUGCUUACACAAUAGGGGUCUUGUAAUAAUAUUGCCUUCUAGUUCUUAUAGAUCUUAUGCUAAAUAAAUAGAUCACAAUAUGCUGUUAUUUGUGGGUAAGAUCUUGCACACUUUACUUGUGCAAUACUCCCUAGAAUAGUUUUGUAAAGCUAAGGGCUCUGUGCAUGUGUGUCCAUGUGUAUUUAUAGGAUUUAGUUGCAGGCAAUAUAGGCAGCUCUGUAUUGGUACAAAAUCUAAGGGGAGAGAGGUGUUUUGGAGAAAAGCUUCCCCUGACAAAGUUCUUUUAAUGCAAAAUUAAAACAUCAAGUAGAGUCUUGCUCCUGUUAGUGAACUCUGCAUCUCUUCCUAUGAGCUCUAGGAUCCUUUAAUCUUCUGCUUCCGCUGCCGUUGCUCCUACUUCAAAGCGCUGCUGCAGGCAGUGGAAAGGAUUCUGACACUCAUUUGGGAAAAGUCUGGGACAUUAAAUCACCUUGGGCAUCCAUCUAUGUACGGACAGCCCUGUAUGUUCACUUCAACCACCUGGGAAAAUGCAGCCACUUCUAGAGCAGAAUGCGGUGCAUCUUUACGCAGGACUGCAUAACUGUUCAGGACCAGCAGUGAAAUGUGUAUCCAUUUGUUGUCUUUCAAAAUGUGUAAACCGUGUUUCUACAAAGAUCCACUUGAAAAAGAAUCUAAAGAAAAUAGCAAAAUAUGCAAGCAUGAUAGCUGGGUGCAUGUCUGAAUGUCAGACUCCUGUGGAUUUGGAGAGCCAACAAGUCUGACAUUGUACAGGGUUCCAUCAAUGUGUACAGCUUUUUUGCAAGUCUGGUUGUAUUGGAAUGUAGCGGAGGACCUGGGAACUGUGCACAACAGAAAAAAAGCUGGAGGAGAGAGAAGGGAGAGUCUGGAGACAGAGAGAUGGUUCAGGAAGCCUAAAUAAAGAGGAUAGCAUUUUUUAA